AUGAAAGCUUAUCUUAUCCUCUUAUGGUGGCAAUUUUUUUCUUAUAGCAGAUUUCUCACCAAGGUUCUUUCUCCCAAGGAGGGAACUACUCAAAUUCUCAAAACCAGAACAUGAUAACUCCUCUGCAAGGAUCAGAGUAGAUCGAGUCUUCUUGAAGCUACAGAACAAUUUAGCUGCCCGUUUGAGAUGAUCUCGUCCCGUGCGCGGAACAAACAGCGACGAAUAACUUGUUAAAUUAUUUCCGUUGUGAAAGCUAUAAUUCGAGGGUAGUAUUAGUGAUUUCAUUCGCGUCCGUUAGUAUUUACUUUACUGGUAUGGUUUUUAUGGUAAGGAGUUUAUUUAAGUUGAAUGUCUGGUAUUUUAAAUCUCAGGAGGAUCUGUUUUCUUCUGAUUUGUAGACUUUAUGGCAUUGUUCCUGUUACCAAACCGUGUAGGAAAUAUUAUUUACUUCCAAAUUCUAUAGUAUAUUUUAAUUUUUGUUAUUUUGGGCAGUUUCAUAACA
rnacentral:sRNA from 1 species